GCGAAUAUAGUGUUCAAUGGACAAGCACGAAACGCUUCCAACGUUUAGGUAUCGGUUCGAAUCCGAUUAUUCGCUCCA
rnacentral:tRNA from 1 species